rnacentral:lncRNA from 10 species
GCUCUGUUCACAAUAGCUAAGAUUUGGAAGCAACCUAAGUGUCCAUCAACAGAUGAACGGAUAAAGAAAAUGUGGUACAUAUGCACUAAUACAGCAAAAUCUGUUUGAGGUUAAAAAACAGACCACCAGGCCAGGCGCAGUGACUCAUGCCUAUAAUCCCAGCACUUUGGGAGGCCGAGGCGGGCAGAUCACUUGAGGUCAGGAGUUCGAGAUCAGCCUGGCCAACACUGUGAAACCCCACCUCUACUAAAAAUACAAAAAUUAGCUGGGCAUGGUGGCGCACGCCUGUAAUCCCAGCUACCCCAGAGGCUGAGGCACAAGAAUCGCUUGAACCCAGGAGGUGGAGGUUACACUGAGCCAAGACUGUGCCACUGCACUCCAGCCUGGGAAACAGAGCAAGACUCCAUCUCAAACAAACAAACAAACAAACAAAACAACAACAACAACAACAAAAAACCCAGACCACUAACCUAGAAAAGAUGUGCUUGUUGAAUAAGACUUUGAAGGGAUUCACUGCACGCAGAUGACUUUCUAAACUUCUGGGAGCUUGAGGUUAGUAGAAUUUUUUGUCUAAGAGCUGGAUGUAAGCUUGGGUAAUAAUGUCCAGCUACUUUACUAAUGUAAUCUAAUCAUUUAAAGUGAUUAUGUUUGUAAAAAGAAAUAAAUUACACAGUCAUUGGCCAAAUAUGAUGUCAAAAUAACCUGUGAAUAGAAUUUCAGAAGACGUGUAAGGUAAUUUUUUUCUGGUAUUCACAGACAAAGUGGGGGAAAGAAUGCUUGCAUCUGGGGUAUUACCUCUCCAGGAUGCACCAUUAGCCAUUUUAUCAUUUAUUUAUAUUCUCCUACUUCCACAUUUUUUUUCCUCCAAUCAACUGAAAUUUUUAAAAUGGUUAGAUGGUAUAAAAAGACUAAUUUGAAGAUUGAUUAUUUUAGGUCAAUUUAUUGUAAUUGAAAAAUAAUACUGGUACCUUGCCUAAAUAAGUGGACAAUCUUGGCUUUUUAUGACUAUUUUGAGCACCAAGUUAAUUCAUUACUUUCUUCACAUUGAAAAAUGAGAUUGCAUGUCAAAAGAUGAAAUGAAAUAUGGAACAUGAAACCACUGUACGCUUGAGUAGCAAGGGAUCAGAUAAGAGUUUAGUGAUAAAGGGUCAGACAUCGGCUUUUUUAACAGAUAUUUUUUCUAAAGUGGAACAGUCUCAAACAACACAAAGCAAAAUAGUUUAUCUUAUUAUUUAUUUUAAUGGUUGAUUCCCUAAAUUGUGGAUCAGACCCUGAAGUUAGACAAGGAAAUAACAUUUCUCUAGUAAAAAUUAAGUUUGAGAGAUGGAGACAACUUUGAUUUGUUUGAGCUAGUACUUCACUUUGCAUGUGAAACAUAUAUAGCGUAUGUGUGUUAAAUAAAUAGCAUUACAGGGUUAUCUCUCCACUGAAAAGACUUUUACAAUUGUUUCCCUGAGAUUGCUGAUCAGAAACCCUAUGUCAGCCUUGUGAAAACACAAACAACUUGACCUGUGAGAAACAGAUCACACUUAACUUUCUCCCUACUCAACCCUCAAACAAUCUUUUAAAAAUGUCACUUGUCCCAAAUAUGGCCCCAGUGGAGUGCCUGGGGACUUGAAUGCAUUCUUUGCUGCUGAGGGCACUUCAGUUUGUGAAGCAAGAAGCUGUAUCAUUUGCAACUUAAUGGUCUACAGAGCUGAAACUCUAAGACUUGCCAAAGAAAUUGAAGACAUAAAUAAUCAUCCAUUAUUCAAUAAAGUAUCUAAAUGAAAGACACAAAACAAUAUGUAUUUUAUUUGUAACAGGCAUAUUCUAGGUACAAUUGUAUAGUCAUUUCUUGUAAAAGGCUGCAAAGAACCUAACACUUUUCUGUUUAGCAAUGCUAUCUUAUUGCUAAAAGCAAAAAAUAAGUUUUCUCUUGAUCUUUGAAAAAUAAGUGUUCUACUUCACAAGAAUGUAUACAUCAUUUUCUUAGAGCUAUGCAUAUGUUUUUCUUAGAUACUAUAUGGCAGAUACAUAUGUGAGUGAGAAUAAAAAGAGCCCAUUUAUGUUUUGAAAGUGAAUAAUGCAAAUGAUCAUUCAAGGAAAACAAAUGAGCAACCGAGGUUUCUGCUCCUCACCUUUUUACAUUCAUGAUGUGAGAGGUUCUGUAUAUGCAGAUCUGUCAUUUAAAUACAUCACUCUUCUACUUAAGUGCAAUUUGCUCUUCCACAGAGGCUAAUGUGAAUUAGUAGACCAACUAUCGGGAUAAACUGGCUAAAGUCUGCCAGCAAAAUCUGCUAAAUUGGAGAGUCAGUGUGAAAUUUGCUGAUGCUGCCAUAAUUAAAGUUAGAUAAGAAUAAGGUAUAUUCUAACAAUGUACACUAGAAUAGAUCAUGCAUCUCUUCACAGAAAAGAUAGGUUGGGUAUGCACCUUAAAUUUAUUACUUAAAUCCAUAGAGUAUAAUUUUCAGAAAUUUUCCCACACCUCCUACCACUAUUGAUUUGUUGGUCCUAUGGUUCCAUAUUCUCUAUCAGUGGCUUUGAUGAUCAAUAUGAUACCUUUGUCAGAGAGACCAUUACCAUUAUCCGUGCUAGAAACAACCAUGAAAGUCUUUCCCUCCCCCCCUUAGUAUACAUAAUAUAAAAUUUUACUUUAUCUUCUAAAAUUAUUUCACAAUAAUAUUAUAAUGAUGUCUCACCAAGAGAUUGAACGUACAAAUGGACAGACCAUAGAGAAAAAUAGAACUCUAAACUAAAGCCUCUAUAGUUUCCUGGCAACCUGUCCAGCAAGCCAAGCCACAGCCUCUUCAGCAACUGCUCCAGAAUGGUCAGGACUUAGUUAAUGACUUCCAGCUUCCCUAAUUUUUGUCUCUACUUCAAAUUACAG